rnacentral:misc_RNA from 1 species
GAAAAUGAAAAUCUCGAAGAGCUGGGGGGGGGGGAGAGCCUGCGCUUAAUUGCGCGGCUUGAUUUACCCUCCGCCUUUGAUACACACAGUGGAGUUUCUACUUUUUUGUUCUCUUUGGGGAAGUGCUUUUAAAGGCGUCUGUCCCCAGAGGUAAACACAAACAACAUUUUUAUGAAAUUAUAAAAAGUCAAAAACGAAUUAAAACAAAAUAUUCAAAACUUUCAACAACGGAUCUCUUGGUUCU